AUUGAACGCUGGCGGCAGGCCUAACACAUGCAAGUCGAGCGGGGUUUUCGGACCUAGCGGCGGACGGGUGAGUAAUGCGUAGGAAGCUGCCCGAUAGAGGGGGAUACCAGUUGGAAACGACUGUUAAUACCGCAUAAUGUCUACGGACCAAAGUGUGGGACCUUCGGGCCACAUGCUAUCGGAUGCGCCUACGUGGGAUUAGCUAGUUGGUGAGGUAAUGGCUCACCAAGGCGACGAUCUCUAGCUGGUUUGAGAGGAUGAUCAGCCACACUGGAACUGAGACACGGUCCAGACUCCUACGGGAGGCAGCAGUGGGUAAUAUUGGACAAUGGGCGCAAGCCUGCUCCAGCCAUUCCGCGUGUGUGAAGAAGGCCUUCGGGUUGUAAAGCACUUUCAGCGAGGAGGAAGGGGUGUGUGUUAAUAGUACACACCUUUGACGUUACUCGCAGAAGAAGCACCGGCUAACUCUGUGCCAGCCGCCGCCGUAAGAC
rnacentral:rRNA from 1 species